CUCAUUUCGACCACAUGGUCGCAGCACAGACCACUUUUAUAACCUCUUACUUACAAGUCACAAAGCGCCUUUCUUGUUUCCUUCUUUUUGCACCAUGACAUCACAAGAUGUUUGUUUUUCUUGAACUAGCUUCUAAGAAACGCACUUCUUGUUUCAGGUCUUGAUUGUACUUUCUGAUGUCUUAACUGAAGGACAUCCUGUUUGUACCCAGCAAUGGCCAAUGAGUUCCCACUGUUUGAUGAUUGACUGACGUUCAUAAAAACUAAACUAAACAUCAGAUAGGCUAAUAACAACCAGUUUUUUUAGUAAGUUCAUAUGUUAGCGAGUAGCAUCUUAAGUCAGUUUAUAUAAAGAUCGCAAACAGGAACAGAUUGGGAAUUUUUCAGGUUGGAUCAUAGUUUGGAAACUCCCAUUGAUGCAGAUCAGCCUACCAAAAUCACCGAUACUCAGAUGAACUCGUGCUCUUGAAAAACAGAUCUAUCCCGAAACCAACAUUAAAUCCAGAAACCAACAUCAAUCCUGUAGUAGUAGCGCUGGACAUACGCAUUGAAGCAUGCCAGGCAUCCUCAAGAUCUACUUCAUCGGAACAAUGUUUUCGGUUUUGGUGGCUCUUUUUGGACUAGUGGACUCUGUCGGUGGUCUGAUGUAUCCUCAAGGUUCUGCUCUGACUGAGGAUUGCUGGAUAGAGAAACAACCUUCAGUUUCUCCUUCACGGACUGCUGCCGACGCAAAGCGCGUGGAAUCACGAUGAUCGCGUGGACGUUCAUCUCUUCUCCAAGUCUUGUUGGUAAAUGGUCUGUGCUUUAAGGUUACUGAUUGACUAUAAGACCAAACAUGGAUAAAAAAAAGACCAAACAUGGAUUAACUUCCCUUUGCACUGCUGUUAGACAUUUGUCUAUGUGGACUUGUAUGCAUCAAAUAUGAAAUACUUGGCAUACAGUGCGCGUGAAGAACACAAUUGAGAUCUACUGGUACAUGUAUCAAAGUUUUGACCGUGGUUGGAUGUUAUUUUUGUUACUGGAAGGCUUGUCUGAUUUAACAUCGGCAGCUGUCCAAAAGAAGACUUUUUGUGGAUAUACUGUAAAAUUGUGUUAAGGAUUAAAAAUACUUAACACAUGAUCAAUUUUCCACAUUAAAUAAAUACUGUAAUGUAGUAUUACUAUUUUUUAUAUACUAUAUCUAGUAUGAAUUCUACAAACUAGAAUACUAUAUAUAUACUACAUUGUUUUUAAAACCUCACUAUGGUCAAUUUUAAACUAUACUACAGUAUUUACUACACUGUAAAAAAUACUUUGCUGCCUUAAAAUUUUUUGUUGAAUCAACUCGGAUUUACAAGUCAUUUCAACUUACUAUUAUUUAUCUUGACUAGAGAUGAGUUGUUAUAACUAAAAAUAGUUACUAAAAUUAAGUAGACUUUUCUCAACUAUAUUUUAUAAGUUGUGACAACUGAUCUCUGUUGACAUGACUUGUAAAUCUGAGUUGAUUUAACAAAAAAAAUUUAAGGCAGCAAAGUAUUUUUUACAGUGUACACUUUAUCAAUUCACUAUUCUUCAGAAAAGUGUAGGCUAGUAAUUACAGUAGUAUACUAUAGUAUACAUUAGCAAAGUGUAAUAAUUACUGUAUUAUACUACAGUAUAGUACAAUUUACUUCUGUGUACAGUGUUUUUUUUUUUUCAUUUGGGCUGUAAAAUAUUGAAAUCUUUUUAUGCUUAUAUUUUGUAAUGGUUUUUGAGUUUGUGACUUUAUAUAUUGUCUAGGUCAAGGGUGACCCACUUAAAAAGGUAUCGUCUAUCCGGGACCCAC